AGUUACCCUAGUGGUAGAUCACUGCACUGGCAAACUGCUGAAGCGUUGGUUCAAUCCCCGCUGCCU
rnacentral:tRNA from 1 species